UUUCUGUGAAAAAGAAACAGAAAAAACUUGCUAAGACAAGAUGGUCUUAUACAAGGGACAAAUGUUGGAGAUCACCAGAAUUUCCUUUCCCUGUGCCAAAUGCCUAAAAAGUUGGAAAAUUAGAUGCAGGCCAUGUUAAGUGCCUCAGGCAGAUGGAGCCUCUGGGAGAAGGAGCGAGUGACAUAAGAUUUUGAAACUUCCUGACAUUGGAAAACUUUGUUCAGUAACAGCUGUUUUGACACUGUGGAACUAUGCAGAUUUUCAAAAAUGCACAGCUGACACCAAGUGACCAUGCCUUGUCAAAUUGCCAUAACCACACAGCAGAGAACCGCCUGACUAAAAGAGCACAGCCAUAUAAUACCAAUAAUACAUACGUGUGGAAAAAUGGGUUUCAUGGCUAAGGAUUUGCAGUAUUCCUGCUUAUUACACCACGGAGGCUCCCGGAUCAAAAGAAGUGGGAUCAAAUACAAUGCAAGGAGUCUUGUGUCACACUACAUG